UUUCUCUCAAUUUUCUCAGUCCAUAACCGACUCCAUUGUUGUGUUCAAGUUACUUUUCGUGGUUUCUAUCUUAGGUUGAGGUAAUUUUCGUUUCCUUUUAUAAUUUUCCUACAGUGUUGCUUUUGAAUUUUGUUUUAUUUGAUUUUUUUGCUUUUUCUGAUUACGACAAUUUUUUUCAAUGUUGCUGUAUUUUUUUGGAUGAUUUUGUGUUCCUUGUUCUACGUUCGAGACUUAAACUUGAUGAAACGAAAUUCAUGGUUUGUAUUCGAAUUUUAGGUCACCUUUUUUGGUUUUUUGAGUUUUGUUUAAAUUUUGGGAAAAUUGGCCUUUGCUUUGAGUUUAUGGCUUUUAUUUUUUUUUGGAUUUUGAGUUUUGUUACAGUUUCAUUUGUUUGUUUUGCUUCAGUUGUGUUCAAUUUUGGUAAAGCUUUGUUUUGGCCUCUGAAUUGUGUUUAUGGCAUUUUGGGUUAACUUUUGAGUUUUGUUACAGUGAGCUUUGUGUUUGCUUUAACUUUUGUGUUUGUUUUGUUAAAGCUUUGUUUGUCUGGUUUAUUGUAGAUAAUGCGUUAAAAAAUUUCUGCUUCUAAAAACAAAAUGAAGAUUGCCAAAAACGGCGUUCGGUUUGAAUAUGCGAAACGAUUGAGGGAGUUGCCCUCAAGCCCUGAUUCAGAAUGUAAUGUAAAUGCCCCAGCGGCGGAAGUUUAUAGCCCUGAUUCUGAUGCUGCUCCUAAAAACAUGCAAG
rnacentral:lncRNA from 1 species